rnacentral:tRNA from 1 species
GGAGAGAUGGCCGAGCUGGCUGAAGGCGCUCGCCUGCUAAGCGAGUAAGUGGUAAAAGCUGCUUCGAGGGUUCGAAUCCCUCUCUCUCCGCCA